ACUACCAGGAUUCCCCUAUAACGGCGAGUGAACGGGAUGAGCUCAAAUUUAAAAUCUGGCAGUCUUUGGCUGUCCGAGUUGUAUUCUAGAGAAGUGUUUUCCGCGCUGGACCGUGUACAAGUCUCUUGGAACAGAGCGUCAUAGAGGGUGAGAAUCCCGUCUUUGACACGGACUACCAGUGCUUUGUGAUGCGCUCUCAAAGAGUCGAGUUGUUUGGGAAUGCAGCUCAAAAUGGGUGGUAAAUUCCAUCUAAAGCUAAAUAUUGGCGAGAGACCGAUAGCGAACAAGUACCGUGAGGGAAAGAUGAAAAGCACUUUGGAAAGAGAGUUAAACAGUACGUGAAAUUGCUGAAAGGGAAACGCUUGAAGUCAGUCGCGUUAGCUAGAACUCAGCCUUGCUUUUGCUUGGUGCAUUUUCUAGUUGACGGGCCAGCAUCAGUUUUGACUGCGGGAUAAAGGUUAGGGGAAUGUGGCACCUUCGGGUGUGUUAUAGCCUCUGAUUGUAUACCGUGGUUGGGACUGAGGAUCUCAGCACGCCUUUAUGGCCCGGGGUUCGCCACGUUCGUGCUUAGGAUGCUGGCGUAAUGGCUUUAAACGACCCGUCUUGAAACACGGGACCAAGGAGUCUAACAUACCUGCGAGUAUUUGGGUGGUAAACCCGAGUGCGCAAUGAAAGUGAUAGUUGGGAUCUCUGUCGUGGAGAGCACCGACGGCCCGGACCAGACCUUUUGUGACGGGCUCCGCGGUAGAGCAAGUAUGCUGGGACCCGAAAGAUGGUGAACUAUGCCUGAAUAGGGUGAAGCCAGAGGAAACUCUGGUGGAGGCUCGUAGCGAUUCUGACGUGCAAAUCGAUCGUCAAAUUUGGGUAUAGGGGCGAAAGACUAAUCGAACCAUCAGU
rnacentral:rRNA from 1 species